AUGCCCAGCACUGGGCAGGAGGAAGGCAUCCUCAGGGCAAGGGUCUGCUAUCAGGGGGCUCUGGGCCGCAGCUCCUGGGCACUUCCAGAUUCCUGCAGCGCAGAGAAGUUUUACUGGGAGGGAGCACCCUGCGGCUGGAGAGACCCCGUUGCGAACACCCAGCGACGAAGUCUACAGCAGCCCAGGUCUGUGCUGCCUCCUGGUGGCGACAGAUUUUACUACACACGGCCCCCACGUGAAAGGAGUUUCUCUUCAGUGGCCCAGUUACUUUCUGUUGUGCAGAAGUCCCGAGCCACGGAUAUUCGCCUGAGUCAAAGCGGGUAAAGAGGCCAAGAAUUCCCAAGCUUUCCCAGGCAAGCGGGGAAGAACACUGGGACGCCUUUUCCUCCUCCUCUGUCCAUCUUCAGGCCAAGUGUGCAUCGGUCACAGGGAAACUCUGAAUCGAGCUUUGUGCAAGCCCCUGGAAAGAGACCCAAGAUCGUGUGAUGAGCAACAGUGACAGUGCUGGUGGCAGUGCCAUCUGCAGAACCAGCCCCAUCCCUAUCUGCAACAGAAUAUGCAGGGGCAUCCUUUAUGCAAACAAUCCCCCCGGGGUAGAAUGGGGCUUUUGACAUCAGCUGAGACCCAGGCUGCCUUACAAUGAGAGGCCUGUUGGUCAAAGGAAGGACUGUUUAAUGAACUGAGAACCUGAGGCCAGCUCUGGCCAUCUGCACUUAGAAUCAUAGAGCAACGUGACUGUAACUGGCAACAUUGAAUAAUGCAACAAAUUCAUAUUUCAAAAUUGUGAACUUUAAAAUUUCGUGUUUGUGUCUGUGAUGAAAAACAAAUAUACAUUUGAUACUACCAUUUGAUCAGUAAAGAAGCCUGAAAAAUAUCUGUCUUUGACUCGAAGGUCAAUAAUGAUGAUGGUUUUUCCCCUGCACUGGGAUAGAAAUGUUCUGUCAAGGAUAUAAAAGCACUUUAUGAAAUUCAUUAAAGCCCUUAAUAAUCAGGCAGGGAAGGCAGGUGUUCCCAAUUGUCACCACUUGGUGAGUGAACACACUGCGGCUCCGAGGACAAUGACUCAGGAACAAGGUCGAAUGGCAGGUAGGGGGUGGAGCCGACCCCUAACAGUGCCCUCCAGCCCCCGGCGCUGAGGAAGGACUUGGAGGGCUUGCAUCCACUUUUCCUGGCAGGCUUGUGAUUCCCAGCCAGAACGCAGGUGGCAAUGUUGUGAUUCCUGGCAUAACCUUCAAUGCUUCAGUGAUAGUCUCUGCCAGUGCCAGGCACCAGCUGAGUGUCACUGUGCAACUCCCAGGCUUCAGUGAUGCAUGCCGAGGUUUUCAGAGCAGGCUCUCAUUUAUUAGUUGUGUUGGAAAGAAAUCUCUACUACCUAACUGGGUACCUCUGGAUUUUAAUAGCUGUGGUUUAUAAGAGAUUUGAGAGGGAGUUUGUUUUCAAAGUGCCUUUCACAAAGUAACACCUCAGAUUGGAGUUUACAUUUCAUUCCAGUAGGAUAACUUCUGUGCUCAGAAAUCCAACCGUGCAAGAAAAGUCAGGUUAUAUUUUCCUACAGCCCAUUUUGGCAAAUAUGCCUUCACACCACUUUCCCUCCUCCUCACCUCUAUUGGCAAUAAUCCCAAUGGAAGAUUCUGUUUUAUGUCAAAUGUUGAGUAUCUUGGAAGGUAUCCUGCACAGACACGACUGCUUGGCUGUGCGGUUGGACUGGGAGACCAUGAAGGUCCCUUCUAGCCUGAGAUGUUAUGACUCUAGAACAAAUUAUUCAACUCGUGAUGUUAGUUACCAUUUAUUGGGCUUCUUCUGUGUUUCAGGCUCUGUGCUAAGAUCUUAACAUUACUCUAAUUACAAAAUUCCUGCCAAUAUUAUCCCCAUUUUACACAAGAAAAAACGGAUUUAGGGAUAUCAAAAACUUGUCCGAUGACCAGAUUUAAGAUUUAGCAGCUGAUGGCCACAUGGAAGUGGAUUACAGAUUACACUAAUCUGACACUCUAAACCCCCAAUUUAACUGGAAUAAAAUUUAGGGCUGAGUGCUGCGGCUUACGCCU
rnacentral:lncRNA from 13 species